rnacentral:rRNA from 1 species
CCGCGUGAGGGACGAAGGCCUCUGGGCUGUAAACCUCUUUUCUCAAGGAAAAAGAUAUGACGGUACUUGAGGAAUAAGCCACGGCUAAUUCCGUGCCAGCAGCCGCGGUAAUACGGGAGUGGCAAGCGUUAUCCGGAAUUAUUGGGCGUAAAGCGUCCGCAGGCGGCUUUUCAAGUCUGCUGUUAAAACGUGGAGCUCAACUCCAUCAUGGCAGUGGAAACUGAAAGGCUUGAGUAUGGUAGGGGCAGAGGGAAUUCCCGGUGUAGCGGUGAAAUGCGUAUAUAUCGGGAAGAACACCAGUGGCGAAGGCGCUCUGCUGGGCCAUUACUGACGCUCAUGGACGAAAGCCAGGGGAGCGAAAGGGAUUACAUACCCCUGUAGUCCUGGCCGUAAACAAUGAACACUAGGUGUCGGGGGAAUCGACCCCCUCGGUGUCGUAACUAACGCGUUAAGUGUUCCGCCUGGGGAGU